rnacentral:rRNA from 1 species
AUUGAACGCUGGCGGAAUGCUUUAUACAUGCAAGUCGAACGGCAGCACGGGGCAACCUGGUGGCGAGUGGCGAACAGGUGAGUAAUACAUCGGAACGUGCCCAGUCGUGGGGGAUAACGCAGAGAAAUCUGUGCUAAUACCGCAUGAGAACUGAGGUUGAAAGCGGGGGACUCGCAAGGGACUCGCGCGAUUGGAGCGGCCGAUGGCAGAUUAGGUAGUUGGUGGGGUAACGGCCCACCAAGCCGACGAUCGGUAGCUGGUCUGAGAGGACGACCAGCCACACUGGGACUGAGACACGGCCCAGACUCCUACGGGAGGCAGCAGUGGGGAAUUUUGGACAAUGGGCGCAUGCCUGAUCCAGCCAUUCCGCGUGCAGGAUGAAGGCCUUCGGGUUGUAAACUGCUUUUGGACGGAACGAAAAGCCCUCUUCUAAUACGGUGGGGUCAUGACGGUACCGUCAGAAUAAGCACCGGCUAACUACGUGCCAGCCGCCGCGGUAA